CUGAAACCGUGUACGUACAAGCAGUGGGAGCCUCUUUAUGGGGUGACUGCGUACCUUUUGUAUAAUGGGUCAGCGACUUAUAUUCUGUAGCAAGGUUAACCGAAUAGGGGAGCCGAAGGGAAACCGAGUCUUAACUGGGCGUUAAGUUGCAGGGUAUAGACCCGAAACCCGGUGAUCUAGCCAUGGGCAGGUUGAAGGUUGGGUAACACUAACUGGAGGACCGAACCGACUAAUGUUGAAAAAUUAGCGGAUGACUUGUGGCUGGGGGUGAAAGGCCAAUCAAACCGGGAGAUAGCUGGUUCUCCCCGAAAGCUAUUUAGGUAGCGCCUCGUGAAUUCAUCUCCGGGGGUAGAGCACUGUUUCGGCAAGGGGGUCAUCCCGACUUACCAACCCGAUGCAAACUGCGAAUACCGGAGAAUGUUAUCACGGGAGACACACGGCGGGUGCUAACGUCCGUCGUGAAGAGGGAAACAACCCAGACCGCCAGCUAAGGUCCCAAAGUCAUGGUUAAGUGGGAAACGAUGUGGGAAGGCCCAGACAGCCAGGAUGUUGGCUUAGAAGCAGCCAUCAUUUAAAGAAAGCGUAAUAGCUCACUGGUCGAGUCGGCCUGCGCGGAAGAUGUAACGGGGCUAAACCAUGCACCGAAGCUGCGGCAGCGACGCUUAUGCGUUGUUGGGUAGGGGAGCGUUCUGUAAGCCUG
rnacentral:rRNA from 1 species